CCCGCUCUUUAGCGAGCUAGUGGCUUACGCCGUAACUUGGUACAGUUUAUGUGAUAGUCACUCCGGUUCCAGUUCCCUCUUCCAGCGAUCUGUAGGAACGAGAGGGAUCUCUGCGGCAGGGCUGUGCCUGCUGCUCCCGCCCCAGCUCGGCUCCCCGAGCAGAGCGGUUCCUGCAGCCGACGUGCAGCAAAUACAGAAAGCUCGGUCCCCUGCAAGAGUAUUGCACCGCUGUGACCUCACUGUGCUGUUACACCCCCAGCAGAAUGUUUCUAGAUUGUCUCCAUGGCCACCGAGGAUGUGGUCAGUGACAGGCAACAUCCUGUAAAGGCACAUCUGCCCAGCUCAGAAAUAUCGAACACCGCGUCUUGCUGGGAAAGAAAGGAGAAGAAAGAAAACCUGGGCCAGAUUGUGGAGUCUCUUCUAUUUCCAAAGCAGAGAAAACACCAGUAAAUACAACUAUGUAAGGAAAAUCACUCUGAUUGAGGAGAAUUUUACCAAAAGCAUGAGAUCCACUGGGGUUGCCUUGGGGUUUAUUUACCCUGGUUUUGACAAAACCAUUUUUGCCUUGAAAAUAAAAAUUUAUGGCUUAAGGGAAGGCCCUGUUCCAAAAGGAGGUAAGCCCUUGGGCCACUAUGAAGUCAGAUACAGCAGGGUCUCAGUGCAUAGCAAGUGACCACAGCAUAGGAAUCUGCUGCAAUGAAAAAAGAGGGAGC
rnacentral:lncRNA from 1 species